GAUGGACGCUGGCGGCGUGCCUAAUACAUGCAAGUCGAGCGAACAGAUGAGGAGCUUGCUCCUCUGACGUUAGCGGCGGACGGGUGAGUAACACGUGGAUAACCUACCUAUAAGACUGGGAUAACUUCGGGAAACCGGAGCUAAUACCGGAUAAUAUAUUGAACCGCAUGGUUCAAUAGUGAAAGACGGUUUUGCUGUCACUUAUAGAUGGAUCCGCGCCGCAUUAGCUAGUUGGUAAGGUAACGGCUUACCAAGGCAACGAUGCGUAGCCGACCUGAGAGGGGGAUCGGCCACACUGGAACUGAGACAGGGGCCAAACUCCUAGGGGAGGCAGCAGUAGGGAAUCUUCCGCAAUGGGCGAAAGCCUGAGGGGGAAACGCCGCGUGAGUGAUGAAGGUUUUCGGAUCGUAAAACUCUGUUAUUAGGGAAGAAAAAAGGGGUAAGUAAAUAUGAACGUCUUGACGGUACCUAAUCAGAAAGCCACGGCUAACUACGU
rnacentral:rRNA from 1 species